UGACGGGUCGAAUAAUUCGUAAUGAAUAAUAAGCCGAAAAUGUUUGAAGUUUCAUAUGGUUUUGUUCGUAUGAAAUUGGUAAUUUUAGCUUAGUAGACCGAAUGGGACAAUAUAAAGUUGUAAUGAUAUGACGAAUAAUGUCUAUGUAAUGGCUACGGUAUGUAACCGGGUAAUGGGUAAAAUUGCACAUAAGUGCACCAACCGAGAAUGGGGACUUAGGUUAAUGGGUCAAAGUGAAGGUAUACUUUAGCACGGAACGUUUGUACAAGCAAUGUCGAUAGUAUUUCAUGUGCCCGGUUAGUGUAAGGUGUUAUAACAUUAACAUUAUGUGAGCCUUAAGUGUAAACAUAUGAGUUGUUGAUAAAUGCAUGACGGGUCGAAUAAUUCGUAAUGAAUAAUAAGCCGAAAAUGUAUAAGUUAAGAAUUUCCUUAACCCGGAUGUUGGAUUUUAAGUUCACAUAAUAGAAUGUUAGUUUACAAUCAUGCAGGAAGAAACGGGAGGUUAAUCGGGUAAACGGUUUAAAAGCUAUGCAAGUUUUUGUGCGUGCGAACGACAAAACAACACAGCAGAAAAAUGGCAAAACUAGAGGCCGUCGCCGACGC
rnacentral:lncRNA from 1 species